GAGCAGUAACAGCCGUGUCUCCUGGUGGAGUCGGACCUUCACUACCGCACAGCAGUAACCAGGCCCCCCUUCCUUCACCCCCACUGUGUUAGUGGAGGCCUUCCUACCCUAACCAGGCAGGGAUACACCAGUGAAGCCUAGUGGGGACAUGAAUACCCAUCUCCACCUAGGAGUAACAAGAAGCCUCCACCCCUUGAGUGUCAGCAGGGUCCAAGUGGGAGAAACUGGACUUCUACCUCCACUGGGCAAUACUGAGGCAGCACCCCAUUCUUCCCCUGCUGGAGUGGUGUCAAAGAAAACCAGCUAAAACAGAAGUCUAAGUAAGACCCAGAGUCAUAUCGCAUAACAUCCAACAUGUCCAGGUUUCAACUGAGAAUCACUCAACAUCCCAAGAACCAGGAAGACCUCAAACUGAAUGAAUAAAAGACAAUUAUGAUUAAAGGCACAGCAGCGAACUGAAACAUUCAUCUUGCCAAUAGGAUUAGGUAAUUAGGCAGCAACUGAUCAGCUACCAUAGCUGGACUACUGCUGGGCACCAGAAGUCAGAAACAGCUCUUAGAAGACAUGCCAACAUAGCUGCUCCCUCCCUCAUCAAACUUGUCAGUAAGGCUUCAUUAAUUUCCUCUCCAUUCCUGGAGUGGGAUGGUUGAAUCAGAGUGCGACUGUGUGUGUCUGGAAGUGACCUCAACUUAAUCAGACCUCAACUCAAUCAACUAGGAAACUUCUAGGGCAGGGCAACCUAUUCCAGUCCCAGUUCUUGUAGUAAUUUGACCAUAGUGAAUCCACAACUGGGUUCAUUUAAUACUCCAAAAUUCAUGGUUUGACCACAGUUUUAUUUUGGUGGUGACUAAACUAACCCCACCUCCGGGAGAUGAACUGACAGUACCUUUGGGCAUCCUAAGCAUGCUCUGGUAGGAUAAAACAACAGUCACCAUCAAGGAGAUAACAUCAUGCAGGACAGCUGGGAGGCUGAUGCUGAUGUGCACAGCAGAUAUGAAGUAGGCACCGUCAAGGGCAAGGUGAAGGGGCCCUGGCAGUGCCUAACACAGAUGUGUUUUGAGGAAUGUCUUCUCAGUCAUAAAACAGGCACCUGGCAUUAUAGAUGACAGAUUCAUAUAUAAAACAAAUGGGUACAUAAAUGCUCUCUGAGGCUGGCCUCAUUAUCGAGGAUUUAAACUAAGUGAGAUGAACAGAUGUUUACAACAUUUUACUUUCCACAGUUUCCGCAGCACUUAAGCUGCUGCGAUACUUGCUAUUUAAUUUUCCCUUUAUUCACUAACAACUCAGGAGCUCUCUGCUGUUUUAUCCUACCAUUGUUAUCUUCUUUUAGAAUGUAAAACAGUUUUAAUAGUAUGAUGAAUGGGCUUUUCCAGUUGUUAUAGAAUUGGUGACCAAGGCCCAAAGCAGGUGACAAAAAAGAGCUAAGCAACCAAGAUGUAUAAAGGCAGCUUAGUGGCCAGUGGCUGAAAAGGCACUACUGUCAGCAGUCCACUGCCUCAGCAGGUGCCCUUCAUCCAUCUGUCUAAGACUGUUGUGAGCGUAGUGCUACUGCCGGAAGGACUUGCCACAUGGAGAGUUACGUGUUCAUUCACAAGAGUCCCCUUUGCCUUAGCUAAGACAGAGAGGGCUCAAAGAGAACCACUCCUAAAGACUGAGUGUGAGUACACGUCAAGGAGACUGGCAUCUCAUUCCAUCAGACUUGUUGAUUUGCCUUGUGCUUAUCUGAGAAGGAGACAGAUGGCAGACGGAAACAGAAGUAUCGGAGGCGGCCUAUUUCUCACCGUUUGGCACGGCGAGGAUGCAUGCGCUUUCUGUGGGUCAAGUGAUAUUACAGAAAGCUGUCAGGUUUGCGUCUUUUGGCUGCUGCUCCACCCCAAAGGAAACAAUGUUGGCCAGAGAAGCAGCAUCAGAAGAUGAAGAAGGCAGAGGAGUGAAAGAGAAUGGAACUUGUCCCUUUCCCCCUGCAGGCCUCUCAAGUGAGCUGACGAGGGGAAGAAACGAUGAAUAAGUUCUGCUUUGUUGUCUGAUCUGCUUUCUUACACUGUAUAGUAUGGUGGAAUCAUACAGUAUGUACUUUUCUGUGUCUCCGUUCAUUUCUGUCUACUGCUGAGCAGCAUUUCACU
rnacentral:lncRNA from 1 species